rnacentral:rRNA from 1 species
GACGAACGCUGGCGGCGUGCUUAACACAUGCAAGUCGAACGGUAAGGCCCUUCGGGGUACACGAGUGGCGAACGGGUGAGUAACACGUGGGUGAUCUGCCCUGCACUUCAGGAUAAGCCUGGGAAACUGGGUCUAAUACCGGAUAGGACCACUGCCUGCAUGGGUGGUGGUGGAAAGCUUUUGCGGUGGGGGAUGGGCCCGCGGCCUAUCAGCCGGUUGGUGGGGUGAUGGCCUACCAAGGCGAUGACGGGUAGCCGGCCUGGGAGGGUGACCGGCCACACUGGGACUGAGAUACGUCACAGACUCCUACGGGAGGCAGCAGUGGGGAAGAUUGCACAAUGGGCGCAAGCCUGAUGCAGCGACGCCGCGUGAGGGGUGGCGGCAUUCGGGUUGUAAACCUCUUUCAGCGCCGACGAAGCGCAAGUGACGGUAGGUGCAGAAGAAGGACCGGCCAACUACGUGCCAGCCGCCGCCGUAA